UGCCGCGUAGCGCAAUGGGUAGCGCGUCUGCGUACAGAGCAAAAAAUUGCCGAUUCGAAUCGUGCCGUGGUCA